rnacentral:rRNA from 1 species
ACUCCUACGGGAGGCAGCAGUGGGGAAUUUUGGACAAUGGGGGCAACCCUGAUCCAGCAAUGCCGCGUGAGUGAAGAAGGCCUUCGGGUUGUAAAGCUCUUUUGUCAGGGAAGAAAUCGGUUCUGGCUAAUAUCUGGAACUAAUGACGUACCGAAGAAUA